rnacentral:rRNA from 1 species
GAUGAACGCUGGCGGCGUGCCUAAUACAUGCAAGUCGAGCGAACGGACGAGAAGCUUGCUUCUCUGAUGUUAGCGGCGGACGGGUGAGUAACACGUGGAUAACCUACCUAUAAGACUGGGAUAACUUCGGGAAACCGGAGCUAAUACCGGAUAAUAUUUUGAACCGCAUGGUUCAAAAGUGAAAGACGGUCUUGCUGUCACUUAUAGAUGGAUCCGCGCUGCAUUAGCUAGUUGGUAAGGUAACGGCUUACCAAGGCAACGAUGCAUAGCCGACCUGAGAGGGUGAUCGGCCACACUGGAACUGAGACACGGGCCAGACGACUACGGGAGGAAGCAGUAGGGAAUCUUGCGGAAUGGGCGAAAGCUUGACGGAGCAACGCCGAGUGAGUGAUGAAGGUCUUCGGAUCGUAAAACUCCGUUAUGAGGGAAGAACAAAUGGGUAAGUAACUAUGCACGCCUUGACGGUACCUAAUCAGAAAGCCACGGCUAACUACGUG